UACGUAGGAGACAAGCGUUGUCCGGAAUUACUGGGUGUAAAGCGCGUGUAGGCGGUAGGCCAAGUCUGCUGUGAAAUCGCCCGGCUCAACUGGGCGCGGUCGGUGGAAACUGGUCAACUGGAGGACGGUAGAGGCGAGUGGAAUUCCCGGUGUAGUGGUGAAAUGCGUAGAGAUCGGGAGGAACACCAGUGGCGAAGGCGGCUCGCUGGGCCGGUCCUGACGCUGAGGCGCGAAAGCUAGGGGAGCAAACGGG
rnacentral:rRNA from 1 species